CUACGGGUCGCUGCAGCGGGGAAUAUUGCACAAUGGAGGAAACUCCGAUGCAGCAACGCCGCGUGGAGGAUGACACUUUUCGGAGCGUAAACUCCUUUUAUAUAGGAAGAAGAUGACGGUACUAUAUGAAUAAGCGCCGGCUAACUCCGUGCCAGCAGCCGCGGUAAUACGGAGGGCGCAAGCGUUACUCGGAAUCACUGGGCGUAAAGAGCGUGUAGGCGGAUUAAAAAGUCAGAAGUGAAAUCCUAUAGCUUAACUAUAGAACUGCUUCUGAAACUCUUAAUCUAGAAUAUGGGAGAGGUAGAUGGAAUUUCUGGUGUAGGGGGAAAAUCCGUAGAGAUCAGAAGGAAUACCGAUUGCGAAGGCGAUCUACUAGAACAUUAUUGACGCUGAGACGCGAAAGCGUGGGGAGCGAACAGGAUUAGAUACCCGCGUAGUC
rnacentral:rRNA from 1 species